UCUGGCUGUGAUGACAAACUUGCCCUCACUGCGAACACUUGUUCAAUGAUGAGAACAACGUCGUACUCAACUUGAUCUGAGCCAUA